GCCCAACUCCUGGCAUCCAGAAAAGUUCGUCAUCGUCGUUGCCAUCCAGUUUAUAAUCGACGAUAACCACAAUUAGGAGCCUGAACCCAUUGAAUGGAUAAAGCCCUCAUUCUAGAUCAGUAUGAGGAGAUGAGUCCUCCUUCCAGGAAUCGACUAGGAGUAAUGCAUAUGCUAUAAGCAGGCUGGCCAUGUAGCAUGUGAAGCAAUAG